rnacentral:rRNA from 1 species
GAUCCUGACUCAGGACAAACGCUGGCGGCGUGCCUAACACAUGCAAGUCGAGCGGAGACAGUGAGUAGCUUGCUAUGAGCUGUUUUAGCGGCGGACGGGUGAGUAACGCGUGAGCAACCUUUCCCAGACAGGGGAAUAACACACCGAAAGGUGUACUAAUACCGCAUAAGACCACGGGAUCACAUGGUUCUGGGGUAAAAGAUUUAUCGGUUUGGGGUGGGCUCGCGUCCGAUUAGGUAGUUGGUGAGGUAACCGG